GGUUGACCUCGGAUCAGGUAGGGAUACCCA
rnacentral:rRNA from 1 species